AUGAUAUUCGGUCGCUGCACGCGAAAACAAAUACUCACAAUGAGUGCGCUGGCCGCUGGCGUUGUCUUGGCAAUUGUUGCAAUCUGUGUGUUUAACAGUCAAGCGGAGGCCAAGCAGCCGCCUUGGGCGCAAGUGAACAGACCAGUUAACAAGUGCUACAAAACGCGUCCGAAUACAACAAACUCAACGCUGGAACUGGUGCACAUUGUCUUUAGACACGGCAUACGCACGCCCGUCGACACCUUUCCAAAAGAUCCCUAUAUCAAGGAUAGUUUCAAGCCCACCGGCUGGGGCCAUGUGACGAAUCGUGGCAAGAAGGAGCUCUUCGAGAUGGGCCGCUGGCUGCAUCGACGCUAUGGCGACUUUAUGGGACCUUUUUACAGGCCCGAUCGACUUCAUGCUCAGGCUACGGCCUCGCCUCGGGCGCUGAUGUCGCUGCAAACUACACUGGCCAGCAUGUUUGAGCCACGCGGCACAGUCAUGGAAUGGAACAAGCAGCUUAACUGGCAGCCCAUACCCAUUGUGUCUGAGCCACUGGAUCAAGAUUCGCUGUUGUUGGUGCGCACGCCCUGCCCGCGUUACUUCGAGGCGCGCGACGAGGUCUUUGCCUUACCAGAGGUAAUCGCUCAACAGGCGCCCUACGCGGAUAUGCUCAGAGAGCUAAGCAAUCUGACUGGCAUGCCUAUGCGCAAUGCGGAGGAUGUCAACUCAUUGUACAUAACUUUACUGGCCGAAAAGGAGUUUGGCUACAAGCUGCCCGACUGGGCGAAGGAUUACUUUCCCGAGCGCAUGCAAUUCCUUGCCGAACAGAGCUAUGUGUACAAUGCGUAUACGCCCGAGAUGCAGAAGAUCAAAGGUGGCCCCUUUUUGCGCAAAAUGUACGACGAGAUGCUGGCGAAACAGGCGGGCACUUUGAAGCCCACAGAGCGCGGCAUGUUCAUCUACACGGGCCACGAUUGGACCGUCGGCAACAUACUAUCCGCGCUGGGCGUUUGGAAGCGGCAAAUGCCGCGCUUUGCUAUCAUGGCCAUCUUCGAGACGCACAAGCAUCGCGAGACAGGGGAACACUAUGUGGAGAUCUUUCUGCGCAACGAUGAAUUUGGCUGCCUGGAGCAGCUGAAGCUAGAAGACUGCGAGCUGCAGUGUCCACUGAAUCGGCUCGUUGAGUUGAGCGAAUCAGUGCUGCCCAAUGACCCCGUGGAACAGCGUUGCCGUGCUCGUAACGCUGAUUUUGUGGAGCCACCUCCGCGUCCAAUCGAUCAGCAAUAACUUAUUGAAAUAGCAUUGUAAAGCACACAGAACUCAGUAUUAGACGAUGACAGCAGGUCAUGAAAUCAGCGGAAAAAAUAAACAAAAGUACCCCAAAAAAGUUAAUUGUGUUUGCGAGAAUUUUUGCUUUCUAUUUUUGUUGGUUUUUAUUGUGCAGCGGCUCUUUGCAAAUUGUUUGCUUUUGCGAUUCGAGCAACGUCAUCUCUCACACUGUUCGCUAU